GCUUACCUUGUGGACGGUUCUCGAACGCAUGUAGUCGCAAACCCUUGCAAAUCGUUGGCCGGUGGUCGAUAUCCCGCGACCCUUGGAUGUAUAUUUUGUUAGUGUAGUGUGUGUUUUUAGCGUUCCUUAAAUUUAUAUUUAUAUUAGUGUAUUGUAUAGCGUAUAGCUAGUAAUUGCAAGACUCAAGCAGGAACUCUCCAAGAGGACAUCCCACAGUGGCACGGCUUUCAUCGAAAGGUUCUUAGCAACAGGGUGUUCCUCUUUUGAACAACAUUACACUUUCCGGUGUGGGAGUUCCACCGCUAGAGGGAUCGUGCAAGAAGUGUGCAAGGCAAUAUGGGAGUAUCUACACGACCUAUGUUUCCCAGAAUUAACAUAGGAAGAAUGGCUGAAAAUUGAAGAAGGCUUUCGUUGUGAAGCACAGUUUCCGAACUGCAUAGGCGCCAUCGAUGGCAAGCAUGUGAGGCUCAUUAAACUAACGGGCAGUGGUUCUAACUACUUUUGUUACAAGAAGUAUUUUUCAAUGGUGUUGUUAGCUGUAUGUGACGCAAACUACAGGUUUACUUUUAUAGAUGUCGGUUCUUAUGGUAAAGCAUCAGACUGCUCAAUCUACAAAAACAGUAACCUCUGCCAAAAAAUGCAGCAAAAUACACUGAACAUUCCUAGUGAUAAACCAGUGUCAACGAAUGGGGACCCACUUCCCUUCGUUUUCGUUGGCGACGAAGCUUUUGGCCUCUCUACUCACAUGCUACGCCCUUAUGAGGGAAAAAAUCUCCAACACAAAAAAAAAAAUUUAAUUAUCGCUUAUCAAGAGCGAGGCGAUACAUCGAAAGUGCUUUUGGCAUUCUCACAAAUAAAUGGCGCAUAUUUCAUAGACCACUGGAUUUACAUGUUGAGAAUGGCGAAAACAUUAUCAGGGCAUGUUGCACUUUACACAACUUUGUAAGAGAAAGGGAUGGUGUACAGUUUGAAAACACACUGAAUGUUGUAGGUCUGACUGAUGGUGAUGGUGCAAUACAAGCAGGAUGCCCUCGAUCCACUAUAACAAUAAGAGAAAAGUUCUCGGACUACUUUUCCAGCAUAGGAUCAGUGUUGUGGCAGGAUAGAAUGAUUGGGAACAGAGUGUAGGGCAAGUCCAAUGUGUGACAUAGUAAAGUAUGUAAUGUGUUACAAACUUUUUUCUAAAUUAUUUCUUGUGUCACUUAUGUAUUAGAUAUACAUUAUUAUACAUUAUUAUACAGCUAUGUAUGAAAUACUAGACUUACAAUAUCAAAUAUUGUGAAUAUAAAUAUAUGAAAUGUAAUA